AGGAAGUUGAGAGCAGAAGGAGGCUGCAGGGUGAGUCUGCAGUCUCUGGCAGUGGGGAGGAGAGGAGACAACUGAAGAGGGAGAAUAAGCCCUGGGAUCCUAGCCCUGGAAGAAGGGUCCACCCCAGAGGAAUUGUGGGGAAAGAGAGAGAAUAGGAAGAAGCCCAGGAAAACAGCUGCAAGGAGUAGGACUGAGCAGACCUUGGCUGCACUUUAUAGGGUUCUUGGGCUGAUACCCUCUGUAGAUGGUGGGCCUGGGUUCCCCUACCAGCCACUGAGAAGCGGGACAAGAUCGUUGGAGACGCCAAUUGGACAGCUUGUCUGGAGGGACUUUGUUACCCUGGAAGGGGAGGACUAUAUAGUGACCUGGCUGGAGGUCUGAGUCCUGAAGAGGGAGCACCCCAAGUUGUGAAGAGAGAAAGAGAGCAGUGACAGGAUGAGUAACUGAUGGAAAGGGGUGCCAUACUGGGGAGAGCUGAUCCCCAGAGCAGCCACAAGGAGGCACCACCUGCAGUGAGUAUACCCUUCACAGAGGUUCACGUGGCAAUUACCACCUCCUGUAGGCAUCCCCCUCUCCUCAAGAGCUGCAGCCUCUUUUGUGACUGGCAGCCCUGCUCCCCCAGCCAGACACUCACAGCUUCUCCUCCUAACACCAGGAGUGGUGCGAUUUAAGAAGCUGGGGGCUUCCCUUUAGCACAGCCUGCAUGAUCAAACUAAUCAAAGACUUCAUCUCUGAGAGGCCUGAGUGAGUGGAUUGUUCCUUGCUGCUGUCUUCAGUCUGGAAGGAUCUUCCUCUCGCUGCCUUCCACUUCAUCCUUUUAAAGGCAGUAGAGCAGGAAGUAGAAACUUAGAAUCCGCUGAAGUGCCCCUCGUGGGGAAGCCACAGAAUGAAGAGACAGAUAGGGAGGAAGUAGGCAGGAAGGUAAAGUGGCAAGAGCAGAAGAUGCAGCAUUUCUGUGGACUCACGACACAAACAGGACAAAAAGAUGCCACAAUAGUCUUCAGGACCCCAUUGUGCUGCAUGCUGUACAAUUACAUACUAAAACGUGAGUCCCUAACCUCAAGAAUUCACAAUCUAUGAAGACAAAUGACAUACAAGAGCACUGCACAACACAACAAGAAGCAAAGCUAACCAGCUGUGCCUCGACAAGUCAAGUGCAAAGUGAAGG